GAUGAACGCUGGCGGCGUGCCUAAUACAUGCAAGUCGAGCGAACAGACGAGGAGCUUGUUCCUCUGACGUUAGCGGCGGACGGGUGAGUAACACGUGGAGAACCUACCUAUAAGACGGGGACAACUUCGGGAAACCGGUGCUAAUACCGCAUAAUAUAUUGAACCACAUGGUUCAAGAGUGAAAGACGGAUUUGCUGCCACUUAUAGAUGGAUCCGCGCCGCAUUAGCUAGUUGGUAAGGUAACGGCUUACCAAGGCAACGAUGCGUAGCCGACCUGAGAGGGUGAUCGGCCACACUGGAACUGAGACACGGUCCAGCCUCCUCCGGGGGCCAGCAGUGGGGAUCCUUCGGCAAUGGGCGAAGGCCUGCCGGAGCAACGCCGCGUGGGUGAUGAAGUUCUUCGGAUCGUAAACCCUUGUUGUUGGGGAAGACCAAAUGUGUAAGUAACUAUGCACGUCUUGACGGUACCUACUCAGAAAGCCACGGCUAACUACGUG
rnacentral:rRNA from 1 species